rfam:Triticum aestivum genome assembly, contig: Triticum_aestivum_CS42_TGACv1_scaffold_569828_7AS
AUAAUACUCCCUCUGUCCGGAAAUACUCGUCGGAGAAAUGAAUGUAUCUAGAUGUAUUUUAGUUUUAGAUAUAUUCAUUUUUAUGCAUUUUUUCGACAAGUAUUUCCGGACGGAGGGAGUACAAA